UCUCCGUUGGUGAACCAGCGGAGGGAUCAUUACCGAGUUUACAACUCCCAAACCCCUGUGAACAUACCUAUCGUUGCCUCGGCGGUGCCCGCUCCGGCGGCCCGCCAGAGGACCCCCAAACUCUUGUUUUAUACAGUAUCUUCUGAGUAUCACGAUUAAAUAAAUCAAAACUUUCAACAACGGAUCUCUUGGUUCUG
rnacentral:misc_RNA from 1 species